rnacentral:sRNA from 1 species
UGUAUGUGGGCGAGCAUUGUCUUGCAUAA